UACGAAGGGUGCAAACGUUGCUCGGAAUUAUUGGGCGUAAAGCGCACGUAGGCGGCUUUGCAAGUCGGAUGUGAAAUCCCACGGCUCAACCAUGGAAGUGCAUCCGAAACUGCAGAGCUUGAGUACGAAAGAGGAUCGCGGAAUUCCCGGUGUAGAGGUGAAAUUCGUAGAUAUCGGGAGGAACACCAGUGGCGAAGGCGGCGAUCUGGGUCGAUACUGACGCUGAGGUGCGAAAGCCAGGGGAGCAAACGGG
rnacentral:rRNA from 1 species